GAUGAACGCUGGCGGCGUGCCUAAUACAUGCAAGUCGAGCUAACGGACGAGAAGCUUGCUUUUCUGAUGUUAGCGGCGGACGGGUGAGUAACACGUGGAUAACCUACCUAUAAGACUUGGAUAACUUCGUGAAACCGGAGCUAAUACCGGAUAAUAUUUUGAACCGCAUGUUUCAAAAGUGAAAGACGGUCUUGCUGUCACUUAUAGAUGGAUCCGCGCUGCAUUAGCUAGUUGGUAAGGUAACGGCUUACCAAGGCAACGAUGCAUAGCCGACCUGAGAGGGUGAUCGUGCACACGGGAAAUGAGCAACGGUCCAGACUCCUACGGGAGACAGCAGUAGGGAAUCUUCAGCAAUGGGCGAAAGCCGGACGGAGCAACGAAGCGUGAGUGAUGAAGGUCUUCGGAUCGUAAAACUCUGUUAUUAGGGAAGAACAUAUGUGUAAGUAACAGUGCACAUCUUGACGGUACCUAAUCAGAAAGCCACGGCUAACUACGUG
rnacentral:rRNA from 1 species